UCCCCCACACCGUUCUGAUUCAUAGGGGUUGGGUUAAACGAAGAAGAUGUGGAUUUAGGCCGUCCCCCACACCGUUCUGAUUCAUAGGGGUUGGGUUAAACGCAGAAGACACAUCUUGGUUGAAUGCAUUCAGUUGUGCAACUGACUCGGUACCCCCUUCCUCUUUUGUAGUGGAGGAGACAGACCAGGAAACACUCUUGCUUUUGGACGACUCGACUAUAACCUGAAGUUAAAGAAGUACAUAAAAGACUUACACGCAAGUCAACUGUGAGAGGGCAGCCCAGAUGACCGAGUGGCUGAAGAACAACAUCUGGCCGGCAAUCCAUGCUGCGGAGUAGAUGAAGGACACCGCAAUCCAGAGGGCUCAGUGGACCAGACAGAAUGGGGACAAGACAGUCGAGAUAGUACGAGUAUCCGCAUCUGCUGGAUACUCCAGGCAUGUCCCAGGAUGAAAAUGUGAUGCAAGGGAUUUUACCAUCGACAGCCAUCAACAUCAUCAAGCCCUGCACAACUAGCGUGCUGUUUCCUAUUUAACAACAGCAGAUAAUAAAUCAUGCUC